UACGGGGGGGGCAAGCGUUGUUCGGAAUUACUGGGCGUAAAGGGCUCGUAGGUGGCCAACUAAGUCAGACGUGAAAUCCCUCAGCUUAACUGGGGAACUGCGUCUGAUACUGGAUGGCUUGAAUCCGGGAGAGGGAUGCAGAAUUCCAGGUGUAGCGGUGAAAUGCGUAGAUAUCUGGAGGAAUACCGGUGGCGAAGGCGGCAUCCUGGACCGGCAUUGACGCUGAGGAGCGAAAGCCAGGGGAGCAAACGGG
rnacentral:rRNA from 1 species